CGACCUUCAGGUUGAGAACGACAGACUGGACUAACAUAUUCAACUAUACAACCCCUCUGGCCCUGCACUCUCUCUGCUGCUAGGGGAU